rnacentral:rRNA from 1 species
UAAGGAAUAUUGGUCAAUGGACGAAAGUCUGAACCAGCCAUGCCGCGUGAAGGAUGAAGGUCCUCUGGAUUGUAAACUUCUUUUAUAUGGGACGAAAAAAGGGUUUUCUAACUCUACUGACGGUACCAUAUGAAUAAGCACCGGCUAACUCCGUGCCAGCAGCCGCGGUAAUACGGAGGGUGCAAGCGUUAUCCGGAUUUACUGGGUUUAAAGGGAGCGUAGGUGGGCUGUUAAGUCAGUGGUGAAAUCCCGGGGCUCAACCUCGGAACUGCCGUUGAUACUAUCAGUCUUGAAUAUUGUGGAGGCUAGCGGAAUAUGUCAUGUAGCGGUGAAAUGCUUAGAUAUGACAUAGAACACCGAUUGCGAAGGCAGCUGGCUACGCAUAUAUUGACACUGAGGCUCGAAAGCGUGGGGAGCAAACA